rnacentral:rRNA from 1 species
UACGUAGGGCGCGAGCGUUGUCCGGAUUUAUUGGGUGUAAAGAGCUCGUAGGCGGCUUGUCGCGUCGUCCGUGAAAACCUGGGGCUCAACCCCAGGCUUGCGGUCGAUACGGGCAGGCUCGAGUUCGGUAGGGGAGACUGGAAUUCCUGGUGUAGCGGUGAAAUGCGCAGAUAUCAGGAGGAACACCGGUGGCGAAGGCGGGUCUCUGGGCCGAUACUGACGCUGAGGAGCGAAAGCGUGGGGAGCGAACAGG